rnacentral:rRNA from 1 species
AGAACGAACGCUGGCGGCAUGCCUAACACAUGCAAGUCGAACGCUCAUCUUCGGAUGGGAGUGGCGCACGGGUGAGUAACGCGUGGGAACCUGCCCCGAGGUUCGGGAUAACCGAUGGAAACGUCGGCUAAUACCGGAUACGUCCUAAGGGAGAAAGAUUUAUCGCCCUGGGAGGGGCCCGCGUCGGAUUAGCUAGUUGGUGGGGUAACGGCCUACCAAGGCGAUGAUCCGUAGCUGGUCUGAGAGGAUGAUCAGCCACACUGGGACUGAGACACGGCCCAGACUCCUACGGGAGGCAGCAGUGGGGAAUAUUGGACAAUGGGCGCAAGCCUGAUCCAGCAAUGCCGCGUGAGUGAUGAAGGCCUUAGGGUUGUAAAGCUCUUUCGGCGGGGACGAUGAUGACGGUACCGCAGAAGAAGCCCCGGCUAACUUCGUGCCAGCAGCCGC